CUGGGUGGCGGUGAUAGAGCAGUUCUGGGUGGCAGUGGCGGAGCAGGUCUGGCCAUCUGGGCGACGGCCGCAAAGCAGGUCUGCACAACGACGGAAGAGCUGGUCUGGGCGGCGGCGACACAGCAGGUCUGGGCGGCGGGAAAGGGUCGCGACGGCUUAGGUGUGGGCGGCAAUGGCAAAGCAGUUCUUGGCGGCGAUGGCAUCGACGCCCAUAUGGAAUCGCGACUAAAGAGGGUCGCGGCUGCCGGCACUG
rnacentral:lncRNA from 1 species